AGUUUGAUCCUGGCUCAGGAUGAACGCUGGCGGCGUGCCUAAUACAUGCAAGUCGAACGAAUCUCUUUUAGAGAUGAGUGGCGAACGGGUGAGUAAUACAUAGGUAACCUGCCCCUGUGCGGGGGAUAACAGGAGGAAACUCCUGCUAAUACCGCAUAGCCAUGAGCACCGCAUGGAGCUCAUGCCAAAUAUCCUUUAUGGGAUAGCGCAGGGAUGGACCUAUGGCGCAUUAGCUGGUUGGCGGGGCAACGGCCCACCAAGGCAACGAUGCGUAGCCGGCCUGAGAGGGCGGACGGCCACAUUGGGACUGUGACACGGCCCAGACUCCUACGGGAGGCAGCAGUAGGGAAUUUUCGGCAAUGGGGGAAACCCUGACCGAGCAACGCCGCGUGAGCGAAGAAGGCCUUCGGGUCGUAAAGCUCUGUUGUAAAGGAAGAACGGCGCAUACAGGAAAUGGUAUGCGAGUGACGGUACUUUACCAGAAAGCCACGGCUAACUACGUGCCAGCAGCCGCGGUAAUACGUAGGUGGCGAGCGUUAUCCGGAAUCAUUGGGCGUAAAGAGGGAGCAGGCGGCCGCAAGGGUCUGUGGUGAAAGACCGAAGCUAAACUUCGGUAAGCCAUGGAAACCGGGCGGCUAGAGUGCGGAAGAGGAUCGUGGAAUUCCAUGUGUAGCGGUGAAAUGCGUAGAUAUAUGGAGGAACACCAGUGGCGAAGGCGACGGUCUGGGCCGCAACUGACGCUCAUUCCCGAAAGCGUGGGGAGCAAAUAGGAUUAGAUACCCUAGUAGUCCACGCCGUAAACGAUGGUCACUAAGUGUCGGGGGUCAAACCCCGGUGCUGCAGUCAACGCAAUAAGUGACCCGCCUGAGUA
rnacentral:rRNA from 1 species